CGUGCUCCUGUUAGCUUUCUUGCGCUCUCGUGAUGCGCGGUUGGUGUUGCAUGUGCUUAUGUGUGUAUGUGCGUGUGUGUGUCUGCGAGCGUGCGCCCAGCUGCUUUUUCCUUCAUUGCCCACCCUUUUUAUAUCAUUCAGCAAGCUCGCUUCUUCCUCACCAGCUUUCUACUCGGGUACCCAGGUGAGCAUGUCAUGACGGCUGUCUACUUACAUGUCUGCGCGCUUUUAUGUCUAAGAAUCUUUGUGUGUGGUUGUAACCGCACUUGUUGUCUUUCACCAGCCACAGGAGUAUCUUUUUUUUUCCUUCACAAUUUGGUGUGUGCGUAUGCCGUACGACGUGUUGUUUUGUCUGUUUGGUGCUAAAGAUUUUCCUUUUUUUGUUCUUGUCGAGCUAGUCCACUACUACGACGAGGACCACCACCACCACCACCACCACCACCACCACCUUUCCCCCUCCCCGUUUCUAUAUCUCAGUCUACUAACUUUUCAAAGCAUACUCGUGUUUUCUGGGUUCUGCUUUUCUUCUCUCGCCUUUCUCUUCGCCGAUUCUACAUAUCUGUCUCUAUACAUCACUCACCUUCUCUCUUUUUCUUUUCGUUUACUUCUAUCGUGUCCUUCCCCCGUUAUUCUCUCUCGGGCUCUUACGCACAGAUAAGCGGAAGACGGAGCAUACACACAGACACCCCCUCACAUACGCAACCCAAGUCACGAAGGAUAUUCGACACUGUUUCUUAUAUCGCUCUUGCUCUCUUUUCGCCUCCAUUUGCGGCAUUCUUCCUUCAUAUACAUACACUUAUAUAAUCUUCCUAGUUUUACGUCUUUCGCUUUCUCUUUCCUUCUCUGUCUUCAUCUCCAUCCCAACAGACUCCCCCUCCCCCACUUCUGUCUUUCUCACUCUUUUUUUUUUCGUCUGUGCCUUCAUGUCUUCAUGACUUUUAGUCGUUGCUGCUGAUCAUGAGCGUUUAAAAUCUGCUCGUGUGUACGUUCCGAUAGUUUCUGUUGUUCACGCAUACACGCACUUCUUCCCUUUCGUUUUGUGUGCGUGCAUGUCUGUGUGGGCGGGCGUGUGCUCCCUUUUCCCAUUUCUGGUGUUGGAUUGUCUUGAUGCACUUUUUGCUUUUUUUGUUGGUUUUGUUUUCCCUUUUUUUUUGCCCUCGUCACGCACACAUGAUUUCGUUCAGCCUUUCUCUCUCGUUGUUUUCCUUCAUUGUUGUUGCACUACACCGCUCCCUCGUUUCUGUUGGUGGUGUGUGCUGAGGCGCAUGCUGAUGCUGUGCCCUGCGCAUCUGUUGUGUGGUGUCCGUCUGCGCAUCCCUGUGGGCGUCUCUCGGUGUAGGUGUUUUUUUGUUCACGGGGAUAUACGCCGAAACAAAUCCAAACGACAACAAAAAAGGCGGAGCUCCACUCAGGCCUCAUCACCACUCUAUCUCUCCCUCCCUCUUCUUUUUUUUUUCUGUCUUUUCGCUGUUAGGUGUCCCAGCGCCUUUUCCGCGAAAAGCGCUGAGCGCACUGUUUCGUACGUCUUCGUAUUUUCUAUGAUGUUUGUUUGUUUCCAUGCAACGAUGUCACACAGAGAGAGACGGGGGAAAAGUGGAGGAUCUGUAAAUUUCUCUGUGCCCCUUUGUGUGGCUGCGUGCAAAUCACAUACAUAUGCAUACAUAUAUAUAUAUAUAUAUGCGUGUGGCAAGUUGUCAUCGGCUCUUUUCGUUCGUGUGGCACUGAAACGAAAGAGGCGAAGUCUGUUUUCAGCUCGUGCUUCCAAUGACCCCCCCCCCCCCCCCCCAAUUUCUCUCCCGCCCCGCGCACACCCCUGCGCACGAACGCCCCCACGCCAUACCAACGCUCGGGCCAACACACGGUCGCCCACUGUCCGGUUUCGAUUCGCUCGCUGUUUUGGGCGACUCUUUUGUUUUGCCUGCGCGGAAAACAACCGCCGCAGAGCGUGCGUGCCAUUCUCUUCUCUUGACACCUUUCUGAGGGGCACCGACCUCUUCUCCUUUUUCCUUGUUGUUUCUGCGUAGUACUUUGCCUUUCUCUUUCUGCGGAUCGAUGUGGCGGCCCCUUCCUCCUCCACGCUCCUUCUCUUCCUUUUUUCUCUUUCUUUUCCUCACGCUUUCGGCGCUGACCUUUUUUCUUUUCGCAUGGCUCUUCGUGUAUGCGCGCGCCUGUGCAUCGGGCGCGUUGCAAGCGGCCUGCAGUGACAGCACCACCUGCCAUACUGGGCUUCACUGCUCUCUCUCUGCAACUACAUGACGACGCACAUGCGCGACGUCGGCCCUCUCACACAUGCUUGCGUCCAAACAUUCUUACGCAUAACCAUGCAUAGGCCCAUGCUCCGCAUUAAUCACAAGGUACCCGUCGAAGCGCUCCGAAGAGUAACCCCACCCCCAGAUCCUUACACACAAACAGAGAGCGAGGUGUACAGAAAACGAAGGAGCUGAUAAUACUCUCGGUGAGAGUUCCUUCGGUACUUCUCCGAUCUAUCGUUGCGUCUUGCUCUUCAGGCGUUGCGUGGGGUUCCUUUUCUGCUCCUCCUUUUGCCCCCUUCUCCCCCUUUUUUAUAUUGCGUAUGUAGUUAUCAUCGCCUGCCCCCACCCCUUAUACUUUGCCUUCCUCCACGUAUGGCAGCUCAACGUCUGCUUCCCCUCCCCUCCCCUCUCUCUGAGUGCGAGUGCCCUUAUCUUACCUGGCCUUCCUCUUCCCAUUUUUUUGUACGUUUCGGUGUGUUCGGCCUCUUUCCACACCGUCUUGUAUUUUUUUUUUGUUUGGCUGGCUGGCUUGGUGGUCGUUCCUGUGCCACUUCUAUAGGCUUUUCUUUUUUUUUUGCUUGGGAGGGGAGAGGAGAAAGACUGAAAAGAUGGACGCGCGCCUGCUCAUACCAUGUCGUGCGCACCUCCACCACCUUUCUCCUUUUCUUCUUCACAGCCUUUCCGUUUUUUCUCCCCCUUCUUUUUGCCUUGUGCGGUUUGCAUAAGAGUGUAAGCUGUAUUAUCAGCUUACACAAGUUUACGUGCGCUUGUCCGCGUGUUUGGUGUGCUUGACGUAUGUGUUGCUUUUCCUUUUCAAUAAUCUAGUGUGUUCGUAUUUUGUGUACGUUCGAGUCUUUUUUCACGUCUUGUGUCGUCUAUUUUCUCUUGUGUAUGCGUGCGUUUGUGUCGUGUUGAGACCUUCCUUUCUCCUCUAUCUCGGGAUUUGGUGUGGCUUCUUUGCCUUUUCCGACAUUUUUACGUAGGCUGUGCGACUUCUUCACUUUAAUCUCGUCAGAUGUCCGCGCCCUGUGACGCCGCGGAUCUCUGUAAAUUUGUUUUCUUUUCCCUACAUUGUGUCUUUCAAGCUCUGCCUUGCCCUCUUAAUCCCCUAAAACGCCGGCUUCUCUUGUGUGGUCUCGCUAUCUAUACCUACUGCCAGCAGAAACGUGCUCGGCUAGCCCUCUCUUCGACCUGUUUUCCUUUGUUAUCGUACGAGUGUUACUGGUCUUGACGGCUUUUCCCCUCGUCUCCGUCUUCCGCGUCGCUCCCUCUUCACUCCACCAACGAACAGCCAGUACACAUCACACGCAUACAUACACAAACACAAACAGUGACACAGUCACAGACAAGCAGUCUGCGAUCGGCUGUUUUUCCUUUUCUUUUCCUCCCUCUCUCGUGCUUUCGAAACCAACAACAACAACAACAAAAAAAUCUCUCGAUGUGUGCCGACAUCGCUGUGUGUGUGCGCGUGCGCCUUUCUCCCUCUCCGCGUGUGUGCGUGUGUGCGUGUGCGUGUGUGCACCUUCGGCACACAUUCGCACUUUGGCGCACUUGUGCCUGUGCCGGCUGUUUUGACCCGCCCCCUUCUUUUUUUUUUUGCGAAUUCGUUGUUGCGCAUCUUUGCCCGCAUUCGCUUGAUUUUUUUUUUUUCGUUACAAGAGAGAGAGAGAGAGAGCGAGCGAGACACACCCUCACAAUCACUCGAAAAAAGGGAAGUAUCUCAUGUUAUUUUCGCUGACUUCUUCCGUCCCUUCUUUCAGGCCUGACCCCAUGGGGGGGGGUCGUGGUCAUCGCCUCUCUCCCCUGUUUCUUGGCUAACCUCCACGGUUUUUUUUUUCGCGUGUGUGCGCGUGUGUUUAGGGAAAGUCGACAGCGCGUCUUUCUUCUUUUUAUUUAUGUGUGUGCUUGUGUGAGUUCUGUUUACGAGAACGCGUUUUCUUUUCUUCACUCUUUUCUCUCUAUAUCUGCUUCCCCCAGAUGAAGGGAAAACGCGCCGAAUAUUUUUCUCAUCUGUUUCUUUUUUUUUCGUUUUUAUUUAUGCGCGGCCCUCCUCCUUCUGUGGAUUGUUUAUUCCAAGUGUUCGCUCUCACACUCUUCCUUUUCUUUCGUUCCUUGGCUUGGUCUUCAGGGUUCUUCUCCCCGUUGCGUCAGUGGUAGUCGCCCAAUGAUGCGCUCGAUAAGGUGACUGGCGCGAUUUUUAUUUCGUUGACGUUUAUUCUGUGUUGUGCCGGCCUAGCAGUCGCUGCAGAGUGCAGAGAUCUUUUUCUUCUCUCUCUUGGUGCCCCGCUUCUGUUCUGCUUGCAUGUCUCCCCCCUCCUCGGCACCUCAAGCCCUCUCUUUGUCUUUCAGCUUCUCGUUUUCUCUCUAAUCCUAUCUGGGAUGAUGGCGGUGGUGAUGGGUUAAGAGAGUGGAAGCGAUGCCCGAUAGCUCCUUCUGGUUGCAGGAGGGAAGGGGUGGAGUGAAAGGGGGAGGGGAAGGGCAGAGCGACGGCGUGUGAGCGACAGAAGAGCCAACCGGAUCAUGCACCCAGACACGUCAGCAGGUGUGUAUACAUCCACAUACACUCAUCGUGACCCUUUUGCCUUUAGGGGGAGGAGGGGCUCUCACGUCUUUUUUUUUGGUUGGCGUGCGCUUUUCCUGUCUUCCAUUGUGACUGGAUUCGCUGUCUGCCUGCCUGCCUUUCUUCUGUGAGCACAUGCUCUCACACCCACGCGCAGAUGGCACCCGCAGCGGAACAAGCACAAAGAGACGGAGUUCGAGCGGUGGUGGUGGUGGUGGGGGAGGGUUGCUCGAGUGUCCCCGUUUCGCUUUUUUUUUGUGUUUUCAGUUUCGUGUAGCUGUGCGAGUCGUGUGGGUGGGUGAGUUCCCGAACGUGUGUGCGAUGUUUCUCUGUUUUCUCUCUGUGUUACUGCCGUUGAUUGUUCUUUGUGUUUGCUCGUUGUCGUGUGUGCGUGUGCGUGUUUCUCCCCACUGGCGCCGCUGCACUCCUUGCCCCUCUCACGGUCUCUCUUACGCAUGUCUUUCCGGCACGUUUCCUCCGGCACCGGUCCGCUCUCUCCCGUCUCGUUUUCUCGUCUUUCGCGCCCUUUGCAGGCUUAUGCGCUGUUUUGUAUGUGUUUCUCGCUGCUUUGCUCGUCUCGUUCUGUGCGAGGACGUGGCGCGCACCCGAGCGCGUGCUCUUCGACAUGUCUGGUGCUCGUCUCUCUCUCUCUUUCGUUUUUAUUCUGGCUACUUUUAUUAGUAUUUCUUGUUCUUCCGUGUUGCCCUGGGGGGGGGCGCACACACACACACCUUUGACCGACCAGGAGGGUGUCCAGCAGAAAAGAGGAGAUUCGAAGGCAUAAAAGCUGAACGAAAGCCAAUGGAGAGGGAAAAAGGCCGAGGGGCUGACUGCUGCGCCUCACCGGCACAUAGAAAGCACAUAUACACGCAUUCCAUUGUCUGGAGAAGAGCAGAGGGUACAAUGCGGCUGGACUAUUCUCGCUUUUUUGUCGUCGAUGUGCGUUGGCUACAAGCACUGCUAUGCCGUCUCGCUCGCGAGUUUCCUCUCUUCAUCGCUCUUCAAUGUACGUAUGCCUCGCUCUCUCUCUCUGUGCAUGAGCGGGUGCAUUUUUUUUUUGUAGUUCCUCCCCCCACUUCUCGUGUGUGUCUCUCAUGUCUGUGCGUGGCGGAUCGAUAUUCACGUAUUCGUGGAUGAUCAUCCCCCCUCUCAUCUUAUUCAUUCGAACAAGAAGGAAAAAAAGAGAAGCGCUUCAGAGCUGAUGCUUAUUUUUUUCUUUUUUUUUUCGAGGCUGUGACGGUGCUCCUUUCCUCCCUUCUCUUCCCCCACCCUCCUAUGCAUCGCCUCCGUCACUCUCUCUUGUCUUUGCCUGUUGCUUUCCUUUUUGUAUCUGGUGAAGACGGCUCGGCAGACACUCCCACAUGGCACAUGCGACGACUUCGACGCACGCUAAGCGACCUGUUCGGGCUUUCUAUGCUUUUUUCUUGCGAGGGAAACGCUCAGACAGGAGCACGCUGGCCCACGUGCUGCUGCCCUACCGGCGCACAGCCGACAGAGGAUGUGCGACUGGGGGUGGGGCGGCGAUCUGCUUUCAACGGCGUUGUGAUGUCGCGCCUUGUGUACUUUCCAGCGCUAUCACAGGCAAGCAUAGGGUCUUCGUCUCUCCCACUCUUGCUUGCGCAUGUGCGCUCGCACGGGGUGCGCAUGUCCGCGUGUAUCCAUCGUACGGAGACGGGCCACGGCUGCAUUGCAUGUUCUUUGUUGUUUCGUUCGUUGUGUCUUCCUCGGUUAUUACGAAGCUGCGCUGUGUCUUGUGUGCUUGCCGGCUUCGUUUCGUUUUCGCUUCCGCAUCCCAUGCUCUCAGCUUUUAUGCCGGCGAGGGAAAUACGCGUUCAGUGGCUAGUUCCGCCUGGCCGCUAGUGCGUGUGAAUAUAUAUAUAUAUAUAUAUAUAUAUAUUAGAUUUGAAGGUAUGGAACUUGUUCCCAUCAGUGAAUACGCGUCGGCGGCUCUGUCUCUGCGUUGCGUUGCCCAUCUCCCUCCCCCUUUCAUUCCUGUUGUGCAUCGGUGUUGGAGAGCCGUUGUGCCCCUCGUGUGAUUGUUCAGAUGUGAGGAGCCACACACCUUUUUCAUUGGCAUGCAUAUUUGACUUGCCUUUGCCGUCGAUGUUCUCGCUUCCUUCCGGACACGGAAGGCGCGCGCACCUUCGGCACGUCGGCCUUUCCCCGACGAGCAGGCGCCGAUGCGCGUGGCGGCCACUUUGCAUGCUUGCGUUUCCCUAUCUGCAGCGUUGCUUGGAGGGUCGCGACCCCUCCUAUCGCUGGUUGAGCAGCACCCCUGGGAAAGGGGCGCUGGCUUCCCGUGAUGGCUACGAAGGUAUCACUGCUCCGGUAGUGCGCGGAGAUUCCCUGACCCCCGCGGUCAGGGGCUCUUUUCCCUCCUUCCCAAGGCCGGUCCUUUCGAGACUCGAUAGGCCGAAGAGGAUGUGAGAGAGAGCGGCUUCUUGCGCACGCCCAUGUCGUAAGCGACCAUAGACAGACUAAGCAGGCACAUAUCGUGCAUGUGGACCGCAGCUUCUUAUCCGUGGACAGAAAUGAACGUGUUGCGCGCGCGUAACUUCCGCCCUCGCAUUCACCCACGUCGAUUCCCGUUUCCCGGAACGGAGGUGGAAGCUGACGUAUCCAGCUGGGCGACCACGCAUACCAUUGCGUCGCACGCGUGAGGCACGCGGUGCCGAAAGCAUCGCUUCUCAUGCUCCGCUCUCUGGCGGCACCGCCUCUCCUCGGACGCUGCGGCACCGGAGUUCCUUGGGCGCGUGAUCUAUACUACUCAGCCUCCUUUGCGUGGCACGGUGCAGAAGCUAGCCAUGCAUUUUCGUAUAUGCAUAUGCAUGCAUGUAUAUAGGCUGUGCUGUUUUUAAGGUGGAGGGAGGCGUUGAAAAGUCAGGACAGAGGGUGGGGCGAGGGGACGACUUUCCGGGCGACAGCCGCGCAUCUUCUUACGUCGUGGUGGCUCCUUAUUCACGCUUCUGUCUCUGUCUUCCACUCAUCGAUUUGCGCCGACGUCCCAGUCUCCGCACAGUUCUUUUCGCUCCUCCUCCGUCCUGGUGCUGCUGCUGCUUUUUGAUUUUGAUUUGUCUCCUGCGUCUGCGCCUCUGCAAUCCUUCGUUUCUCCCUCUCUCCACCUCUUUUUAGUUUUAUUUCAUGUUGAUUGAUGGGGGUUUCUCGAACUGUCUCACUCACGAGCGCGUGGUCCAUCUUAUAUCCCCAGAGCAGGUGGUGUGUGGUGUGUGGUGAAAAAGAGAGUGGGCGAAACACGGCAAGGCAGGGGAUCGGCGGUGGUGGCGAGGCGCGUUGCCAGGCGUGUGUGCGUGCGUGCUCACCUGCGCGCGUCGUGCGACGGUGCCGAAAAUAAGAGGAGGUAGCGUGCACUCGCACAGACUCGAGCUCAGUCGCAUGAGCGGCAGUCGCACCCUGUCCGUUGUUGUGCACAGCAGUGCGGUAGAGGAGAGUAAAAGAGAAUCGGAGGAGGGAUGCUAGGUGAUUUAUGGUGGUGAUGGAGUAUGGAUGCAUUUGUGCACUCAACGGAGUGGGUCGAACGCAGCGUGUCGUAGCCCCUCCCCCCUCCCCCUCCCUCUCCGUCCCGCCGCGACUCCAACACCCUCGUCUCACCAUAUACCUCCCUCCCACUUUGUAUCCUUUUUGCUUGCUUGUUUGGCUUCUUUUAUAUUUUCUGCCCUCUUUCCUUCUUUUUGCUGGCAGGCAGACCCGCGGCAACCGCGCCCUCCCCACCCCUCCUCCUGCUCUUUUCUUUUCGCCUUUUUCCGUGAUAUGCUACGAAUCAACUCGUCUCACCCCCACCCCCAAGCACAGACAAGAGAAACAACAGCAGCAACAACAACCAAGGUGACGUCAGUAACAGACAAGGCAAAGCAUGAGCUAAAUAGCGGUGAGAGGGCAAUGCAACACCCGAGGGAGGUCCGGCAGGAGUGUUGUGGGACUCCCUCCUGCUUUCUCCUCUCUCGCAUUCACGCUAGACCUCCACCUCGCCCCCAUGUCGCACCAUCGUAGGUUGUAGUGGCAAGCAUGCCUCCUUUUUCUAUCCCUCCAAUGCGAAACGCGCACAUGCAGAGGUGUAUCGGCUGAUUGACUUGUGUGUGCGUUGCGCUGUGCCGCAGAGGGGUGAGGGUGCAAGGCAUUCAUCCUUCUUUCUCCUCUCACCACGUCUCUCUCUCUCCGACUCUUGCGACCACGCUUCGUUUCCUCCUUGACCCUUUCUCUGACGCUCUUUUUUUGUGCCAUACACAACCCACCGACGUUCGUCCGUGUCGGGCGCGGCUGUGCUUGUUCCUGCCCUCAG
rnacentral:misc_RNA from 1 species